GUGGGGAAUCUUAGACAAUGGGGGAAACCCUGAUCUAGCCAUGCCGCGUGAUCGAUGAAGGCCUUAGGGUUGUAAAGAUCUUUCAGGUGGGAAGAUAAUGACUGUAUCACCAGAAGAAGCCCCGGCUAACUCCGUGCCAGCAGCCGCGGUAAUACGGAGGGGGCUAGCGUUGUUCGGAAUUACUGGGCGUAAAGCGCACGUAGGCGGAUUGGAAAGUUGGGGGUGAAAUCCCGGGGCUCAACCCCGGAACUGCCUUCAAAACUCCCAGUCUUGAGUUCGAGAGAGGUGAGUGGAAUUCCGAGUGUAGAGGUGAAAUUCGUAGAUAUUCGGAGGAACACCAGUGGCGAAGGCGGCUCACUGGCUCGAUACUGACGCUGAGGUGCGAAAGCGUGGGGAGCAAACAGGAUUAGAUACCCGUGUAGUCC
rnacentral:rRNA from 1 species